rnacentral:rRNA from 1 species
UUUGAAUAUGGCUCAGGACGAACGCUGGCGGCGUGCUUAACACAUGCAAGUCGAACGAUGAAGCCUAGCUUUGCUAGGUGGAUUAGUGGCGAACGGGUGAGUAAUACGUGAGUGACCUACCUUUGACUCUGGGAUAAGCCUGGGAAACUGGGUCUAAUACCGGAUACGACCAAUCUCCGCAUGGGGUGUUGGUGGAAAGCGUUAUGGAGUGGUUUUAGAUGGGCUCACGGCCUAUCAGCUUGUUGGUGAGGUAAUGGCUUACCAAGGCGACGACGGGUAGCCGGCCUGAGAGGGUGACCGGCCACACUGGGACUGAGACACGGCCCAGACUCCUACGGGAGGCAGCAGUGGGGAAUAUUGCACAAUGGGCGCAAGCCUGAUGCAGCGACGCCGCGUGAGGGAUGACGGCCUUCGGGUUGUAAACCUCUGUUAGCAUCGAAGAAGCGAAAGUGACGGUAGGUGCAGAGAAAGCGCCGGCUAACUACGUGCCAGCAGCCGCGGUAAUACGUAGGGCGCGAGCGUUGUCCGGAAUUAUUGGGCGUAAAGAGCUUGUAGGCGGUUGGUCGCGUCUGCUGUGAAAGGCUGGGGCUUAACCCUGGUUUUGCAGUGGGUACGGGCUAACUAGAGUGCAGUAGGGGAGACUGGAAUUCCUGGUGUAGCGGUGGAAUGCGCAGAUAUCAGGAGGAACACCGAUGGCGAAGGCAGGUCUCUGGGCUGUAACUGACGCUGAGAAGCGAAAGCAUGGGGAGCGAACAGGAUUAGAUACCCUGGUAGUCCAUGCCGUAAACGUUGGGCACUAGGUGUGGGGGACAUUCCACGUUUUCCGCGCCGUAGCUAACGCAUUAAGUGCCCCGCCUGGGGAGUACGGCCGCAAGGCUAAAACUCAAAGAAAUUGACGGGGGCCCGCACAAGCGGCGGAGCAUGCGGAUUAAUUCGAUGCAACGCGAAGAACCUUACCAAGGCUUGACAUAUACUGGACUGCGUCAGAGAUGGCGUUUCCCUUCGGGGCUGGUAUACAGGUGGUGCAUGGUUGUCGUCAGCUCGUGUCGUGAGAUGUUGGGUUAAGUCCCGCAACGAGCGCAACCCUCGUUCUAUGUUGCCAGCACGUGAUGGUGGGGACUCAUAGGAGACUGCCGGGGUCAAACUCGGAGGAAGGUGGGGAUGACGUCAAAUCAUCAUGCCCCUUAUGUCUUGGGCUUCACGCAUGCUACAAUGGCCGGUACAGAGGGUUGCGAUACUGUGAGGUGGAGCUAAUCCCUAAAAAGCCGGUCUCAGUUCGGAUUGGGGUUCUGCAAACUCGACCCCAUGAAAGUCGGAGUCGCUAGUAAUCGCAGAUCAGCAAACGCUGCGGUGAAAUACGUUUCCCGGGCCCUUGUACACACCGCCCGUCAAG